CAAAACUGAAACAGAAAACCCUAAUCAUAGUCUCGCUCGACUCCUUCAUUCUGAACUCACCCCAAACUGGAGCUCCUCCCAAACUCGACCUCCAUUCUGGACCCUAAGCUCACUCGAACUCGCCGCCAUUGCUUCCUUCAUCUACGUCCUCUCUCCCUCUCUAGUUUCACAGCUAGCUAACUCACACAAAUCGAGCCAUGGCUCCUCCCAGUCUUCUCGGUCCUCCCGAGCUCCACAAACCCUCACCCACCACCACCGCUCCGCCGCCACCCGAACCCGAAUCCAAACCCCAAGGCCUGGAACUGGAAAGUCCGACAAGGAAGGCUUCCAUAUGGCGGCGUUUUGGCUCCACAAGCACCACCCCAAAACUCGCCUGCAACCUCGCGUCCUUCUCCGAGAUCGGUUACUUGAAGGACCUGCCGGAGAUCGUGUACCGGCUUCUGGAGGGCGAGGACGUGAGGAAGAAACAGAAGGCGGAGUGGCGGGAGAGGAAAUGCGCCGGAGGCAGGAAGCGACGGGAAUCCGGAUCCGACGGCGAAACCGGGUUGAGCUCCGAGAAGAAGAGAAUCAGAAAAAAGAGAGGAAAAUGGAGAGAGAAGAAGACGAUUCAGUGAGCGAGGUUCUCAGAGAUCGAUUCAGACUCUCCACCAUCUCUAUCGCCGAUGCCGAAGUUUUCAAUUCUAGUUCUCCAAGCAGCGAAGAGAAGCGGCAUGGAGAUAUCGGAACCCGUGGUGGCUUGCAUUUCCGACUUGGCCUUCAAAUUUACUGGUCUCUUUGCUUUGGAGACAUGGAGCAAUAAGCAAUGCCAAGCAUUCCCCAAAUUGCAAGUAACCGAAAUUUCAAAGCUUUCGUCUUCGGAUUUGAUCUCAAUCAGUAGAGAAUUAGGCAUUUGAUUUUUCAAUUCUGGCCGCGAAAUGGUGGACUGGAAAGAGAAGAUAAGGUCUCUUUGAACCUGACGGAGGAGAUUCUCCAAAGCAUGGAAGUUGGGCUGGCUUUCAGGGACUACAAUGGUAGAAUCAGUUCGUUGGAUUUUCUCAAGGCUUCGAGUUAUGUAGUGACUGCUAGUGAUGAUGAGUCUAUUUGCUUGUAUGAUGUCUCCACUGCAGCGUAAGGUGCUUGAAGACCAUUAACAGCAAAAAGUAUGGGGUUGAUUUGGUUUGCUUCACUU